CAUUUGUUUCAGGUGAGUACCUAAAUAAAAGUUAUUCGCGAACUUUAACACGUGGUACGUUCGUCGAGCGUGCACCAAUCGAUAGAGCGACGGAAAAGCCGGACGUAUGUUCGCGACCCGGGUAGGCCGACGAGCAAUUAUAAUUCGGUUCACACGAAACCACCGCCGAACGACAGCAAAGACGUCGCGUUUUCGACUGUUGAAUCGACGUGUUCGAUAUAGGUAACGUACGUUCCGAGCGUUAUGCGCAACGUCUGAAUGGACAUGAGCAUGUUGUCGCGGAAAGAGGGUGUCUUUUAGCCGCGCUCGCCC